ensembl:snRNA U6 U6 spliceosomal RNA
GUGCUCACUUUGGCAGCACAUAUACUAAAAUUGGAUGAGUACAGAGAACAUAAGUGUGACCCCUGUGCAAAGAUGACAUGCAAAUUCAUGAAGUGUUCCAUAUCUUU